rnacentral:rRNA from 1 species
GACGAACGCUGGCGGCGUGCUUAACACAUGCAAGUCGAACGGAAAGGCCCUGCUUGCAGGGUGCUCGAGUGGCGAACGGGUGAGUAACACGUGGGUGAUCUGCCCCUUACUUUGGGAUAAGCCUGGGAAACUGGGUCUAAUACUGGAUAGGACCAUGCUGUAGGUGGUGUGGUGGAAAGAUUAGUUUCGGUAAGGGAUGAGCUCGCGGCCUAUCAGCUUGUUGGUGGGGUAAUGGCCUACCAAGGCGUCGACGGGUAGCCGGCCUGAGAGGGUGGACGGCCACAUUGGGACUGAGAUAUGGCCCAGACUCCUACGGGAGGCAGCAGUGGGGAAUAUUGCACAAUGGGCGCAAGCCUGAUGCAGCGACGCCGCGUGGGGGAUGACGGCCUUCGGGUUGUAAACUCCUUUCAGCCAUGACGAAGCCCUUGUGGUGACGGUAGUGGUAGAAGAAGCACCGGCUAACUACGUG